rnacentral:lncRNA from 1 species
CCGAGGACUGUCUGCAACCAACGUUGCUUAACUUCAACUGAUUGUGACCUGAGCUCUAUGCACAGGACCACACACCGCCAUGGAGUCUGGACCAAACAAUCCAGUGACCAACACCAUUAUCAUCGAUCUACGUUAAUAAGUGGGGAUAUUGUAUGCAUUAUCCGUGUCAACAAGCCUGACCACAUGAUCCCAUUGCCUCUUAUGAUAAGCAUAGGUUACAGAAAAACUAUUGUUGCCCAGGUCUUCACCAGUUCUUGCUCACAUCUUCACAGGUCUCGUCCACUUGUGACAAGCAUAUGGUUUGUCUUGGUAGUGACUGAAUUAUUUACAGGCUGGUGUCCGAUAUAGCUGGAAUAGUAUCUGUCUGCACAAGGUCAGCAGGGACGAGUCUGCCAUUAAUUGUACUUUGAUUAACUGAGCAUUUUAAUCAAGUUCACAAUAUGCAUAGAAGCAGGGGUGGUCCAAAGGUUUGAAAUUUGCUUUGCAGAGUUGUCUCCCUUUGUUGUGCCAUCUUCUGAUGGUAAUGGGGAACAAUUCCCCAAUUUGGACCCGAUCUGUCACCGCUGUACUGGUGCUUGUGGGUUUUCAUCUAGACCUAAAAGAGACAUGCGCGCGCACACACACACCCAGACAAAGUAGGGUGACAUUACAUGUUAACUUAUGUUUUUAUAUACUUUUAUACAAUUUUUAAUUUUUGUUUCCAUUUUACUAUUUUUGAAGUUGGAUCAGGAAACAGAGUUUAUCAUCUCAUCGACUAACAAAUGAUAGAUAACACAGUGUUUGUGAGAUUCUCCAAAACCACUCCAAGUUUCUUGUCCCUGGGGCAGACGGGUAGCACAGUGGUUAAAGCAUUCCGACAUCACACUAAAGGCAAGGGUUCAUUUCCCCCCACAUGGGUUUAAUUUUUACGAAGCCCAUUUCUCUCUCACUCACUCAAUGUCAUCCACAUGGCUUCAUAGUUUAGAAUAUUUCAGGGUAUGUGGUCUGGCUCACGGUCUCUGAACAUUACGGUACAUUGUCUUUCAUAGAGACUAAGCAUCAGACAAGGGUGAUAUACUGAAGGUCAAAAGAAACGCAUUGGCACUGGUAAAAAUUUGAAAAGGAUCACGUCUGAGAUAAAUUGUUGUUUGUACUUCUCAUGCUGUACAUGAGGCGGUGGGGGUAGCCUAGUGGUGAAAGCAUUCGUUGGUAUUGCCAAAGACCCGGGUUCGAAUCCCCAUUUGGGUACAAUGAGUGAAGCCCAUUUCUGGUGUCCCCCGCCGUGAUGUUGCUGGAAUAUUGCUAAAAGUGGCAUAAAACUAAAAUUAGAUGUAAAACUUGCCAGCCCUGACCAAAACUUACCCGCAAAUAAUUUAGGUAUGACAUCCAAUUUAGUUCAUCAUCGAAUUGGAAUUCAUCAUUUAUUUUCACAAGUGAAUUAAUAAUGAUUUAUUAUCCUGAAAUAUGGUAUAUAUCUUCAGAUGAGAUGUAUUUUGUGCCUUAAUAAUAUGAAUAUUUGCUGGCUAAUCUGUCCCAAUAACUGAGGUAUCACUUGAUUCAUUCAAAAUACCCACGACGCAGCUCAGCGAACAUGUUCAAAAGAUGGAUGAACAUAGUGUGGCUGGACUCAUAAGCAUUGACGAUGCUGGUCUGUUCUCUAUAUAUUUACACAUCUAUAUGGUUUUCAUAUUGCAAAUGAUAGACAGAAUAUAAGCUUACUCUAACCUAUACCUAACUGCCAAUCUUAUAUUAUCAGACUAAUCCAUCCUUGUUUUGAUCAGGUUUUUACGGGGCGCGUGAUUCCUGCGUAUUGGACGC